CCAAACUUCCCAAAACUUCAUGAUUCUCAAUCAUCCACAUCGGCUCCUCCACGUUCACCAAUGUACGUCGAAACCUCCUCUACAUUCUUCAUCGAUAAUUUUUACUCCUCAAUGUCAUUCUCUCAAUUGUAUGACGUCAUUCGUUCAUCAUCGUCACUCUCUCCCUUUUUCCCCAUUACAUAGUUUAUGAACCCUAGAUAUGUACAAAUCUACAUCAACGUGGUUUAAACAAGGAGUGUUGAUUGGUUUAAAAAGAAAGACGAGACCGAUAAAAGGAGAGACGAUAGAAAGAGACCCGAACUACCCCAAAAAAUAAAAAUUAAAAAAAAUUCGGGGUCCAAAGAAAAAUCGAAUUUGAAGAAGGUAAAUCAAUUCACUGUUAAUUCUUUAAUUUUUAUUUUUAUUUUAUUAUUAUUAUUUUUUUUUUAUCGAAGUCCAUUUGGUGGCUAAGUUGCAUUUCGAAUGUAUUCGAUUUUUUUUACCUGACUUUGGGUGAGUUUAUCUAUUGAAUGGAGUGUGUUUGUAGCGCGAUUUGUUUGAAUUUUAAUUGAGUAUCUUCAGCAAAUGUGACCUCCAUUUUUAUUCGGUUGUGACUUGACCUUCCGAACAUUUGUGACCGAAAUAUUUUUCAAUUUGUGAAAUGUUUUUGUAUUGUCAACUAAUCAAAUUGAGUGUGAUAUGGAUGUUAUACCAUAACUAUUGGUAUGUGACUUGAGUUAUUAUUGGAUUGUGAUCUAAAAUUUAUCCUAACGUUAGAUGGUUAUGGAAAAACUCAGCAGGCUAAAUUGUGACUGAAGUUGUGAUAUUUGCAUUACAAUCCAAAACUGUGACUAUAUGUGAUUUCAACUAUGAAAAAAAAAAUUAGUAUUCUGAACUCAGACAUGUUUUCUAUGAUAUUUAUGUUAUAGUAUAGUACUAUAACUAUAGAUGCAUUUGAUUGCAAACAUGAAAUUUGUAUGGAAAGAAAAUAAGUUCUAGGUAAUUGAAUUAUCUGGACUUAUUUACAUGAAAAUUGUCAAUUAAAUGUGUUUGAUUGAUUUAAUUUUCAAUCUAGAAAAUGUUAUACUUGUCUGUUUUUUAUUCGUGAGUAGACGAGAGAGAGAAAAAGAGAGUAAAUUCUAUGGAAAAUAAAAUCCUACUCCCAUAAAGAAAAUAUUUUUCUUGAUUUUGAGGAAAAUAUGAUCAUGUGACUAAAGUAAGAAAAUGUUUUCUAUGAAAAAAAUAUCAAUCAAACAAUACAAAAGUAAGGAAAAAAAAAAUAUUUUUCAUGAAAAAUAUUGGCAAUCAAACACACAACAUAUGUUUUUAACUGCAACAAAAAAUCAGUAAGGUUGAACUUUAACACGUUUUCGAUGAUAUUUAUGCAUUAAGAUAUAUGAACUGCGACUGUAUUUGUUUUUAUUUGUGACUUGAUUGGUCUAGUAUUAUAUGUAACUUAAAGAACUGUGACUAUAUUGUUUUUAUAAAUGAAUGCCAUAUAUGAUUCUAGUGUUGUUUAUGUUAUACAACUAAUGCAGAAAUGAAAUUAUUUUAUUCACAAAUAUCAUUGGUUCUCCGGAAAAGUUAAAACAAAUGAGACAAAUGGAGUGCAAACAUGUUCUAUUGAUCGUGAAGAUGCUUCCAUGGAGUAAUAGACAAAUAUUGUUGCUAACAUUCCAACAAAAUAGGUAUGUUUGCAAACAUGCCGAUGACAUUUGAUGCUAGCUUCGUUGUUGUUUAAUUAUUGGCAGA
rnacentral:lncRNA from 1 species